GACGAACGCUGGCGGCGUGCUUAACACAUGCGAGUCGAACGGAAAGGCCCUGCUUUUGUGGGGUGCUCGAGUGGCGAACGGGUGAGUAACACGUGAGUAACCUGCCCUUGACUUUGGGAUAACUUCAGGAAACUGGGGCUAAUACCGGAUAGGAGCUCCUGCUGCAUGGUGGGGGUUGGAAAGUUUCGGCGGUUGGGGAUGGACUCGCGGCUUAUCAGCUUGUUGGUGGGGUAGUGGCUUACCAAGGCUUUGACGGGUAGCCGGCCUGAGAGGGUGACCGGCCACAUGGGGACUGAGAUACGGCCCAGACUCCUACGGGAGGCAGCAGGGGAGAAUAUUGCACAAUGGGCGGAAGCCUGAUGCAGCAACGCCGCGUGCGGGAUGACGGCCUUCGGGUUGUAAACCGCUUUCGCCUGUGACGAAGCGUGAGUGACGGUAAUGGGUAAAGAAGCACCGGCUAACUACGUG
rnacentral:rRNA from 1 species